CCUGCAGUGAAGGCAUAGAGAAUUGCAAAACUUGCUGAUGCUCCUCUCAGAGGUCUAAUGAGACUGGCCUCAUGAACUGAAGGCCUGUGUACCGUGCCACUCCACAUCAAAUAUAUUGCAGCCAAAGCAUUCAUCUUCCUGGUUCAAUCCAUUUGUCAUUUUGCCCUGUCCUUUACAUCUACGAAAGCCUGCAUUUACCAGUAUUAUAUACAUGACCACACUACCUCCAAGGCCCUACAGGUAGCUGAUAAAAGUCACAUCCAACUCGGAUCUGCACUGCUUUCUUCUACCACCAACAAAGAGCCAAAUAGCUAUUGGCUGUAGACAGACCAGAGGAGGAUUCCUUGAUGUGUUGCCUGAUCUUCUGAUGCCAAUUGAAGGGGGCCUCUGAGAAAGCCAGGUAUAAAGGCUGCCAAUGAUGACUGUUCUUGGGAGGGAGGAGCAGAAUGGCAGAUGGUCCUAGCCAGGCUAACGGAUGAGGCAUUGCUGUCUUGCCUUUCUCUCUGGUCCUGAACAUGUGGGAAACCAAAAGGGCUAUUUCCAACAGGAGACUUUGCAGUUGACUGGGGUGACUUAAAAAAAAGAAAGAAAAAAGCUGCAAUUGAAAUGUGCUUUGUGAAAUGAACGUUACCAGAAGACAUGUUCCCAAUCAUUUUCUGCCAGUAUUUCUAAUUAAAAAUAGUGAGUCAUGUUUGAUGUAAAUGUGCUCCUACGAAUGUAAUUUUACUGACAUUGGAUAUGAUGAAAAGGAAAAGAAGCCCAUUAAAUGAAAAGCUAAAGCUAUUAUUCUCCUGCCUGCUGUCUAAAUCCCAAAUGAAUUACCGUAUCUCAAGGAGUCAUGAAACAUGGAAAACACAAGUCUGCAACGCUGCUGGUUUGCAGUGACUCUCAUGCUUUGGGCCUCUGUAGCUAAGAAAACUGGGAUGGGAAUUAUUGAACAAUAAAGUCAUCAUUUAAGAACUUU